UACGAAGGGGGCUAGCGUUGUUCGGAAUUACUGGGCGUAAAGGGCGCGCAGGCGGCCUAUCAAGUCAGAUGUGAAAGCCCCGGGCUCAACCUGGGAACUGCAUUUGAGACUGAUAGGCUUGAGUUCGGGAGAGGAGAGCGGAAUUCCCAGUGUAGAGGUGAAAUUCGUAGAGAUGUGGAGGAACACCAGUGGCGAAGGCGACUCUUUGGUCUGUAACUGACGCUGAGGCGCGAAAGCGUGGGGAGCAAACAGG
rnacentral:rRNA from 1 species